rnacentral:rRNA from 1 species
UUAAGCGACUAAGCGUACACGGUGGAUGCCCUGGCAGUCAGAGGCGAUGAAGGACGUGCUAAUCUGCGAUAAGCGUCGGUAAGGUGAUAUGAACCGUUAUAACCGGCGAUUUCCGAAUGGGGAAACCCAGUGUGUUUCGACACACUAUCAUUAACUGAAUCCAUAGGUUAAUGAGGCGAACCGGGGGAACUGAAACAUCUAAGUACCCCGAGGAAAAGAAAUCAACCGAGAUUCCCCCAGUAGCGGCGAGCGAACGGGGAGCAGCCCAGAGCCUGAAUCAGUGUGUGUGUUAGUGGAAGCGUCUGGAAAGGCGCGCGAUACAGGGUGACAGCCCCGUACACAAAAAUGCACAUGCUGUGAGCUCGAUGAGUAGGGCGGGACACGUGGUAUCCUGUCUGAAUAUGGGGGGACCAUCCUCCAAGGCUAAAUACUCCUGACUGACCGAUAGUGAACCAGUACCGUGAGGGAAAGGCGAAAAGAACCCCGGCGAGGGGAGUGAAAAAGAACCUGAAACCGUGUACGUACAAGCAGUGGGAGCACGCUUAGGCGUGUGACUGCGUACCUUUUGUAUAAUGGGUCAGCGACUUAUAUUCUGUAGCAAGGUUAACCGAAUAGGGGAGCCGAAGGGAAACCGAGUCUUAACUGGGCGUUAAGUUGCAGGGUAUAGACCCGAAACCCGGUGAUCUAGCCAUGGGCAGGUUGAAGGUUGGGUAACACUAACUGGAGGACCGAACCGACUAAUGUUGAAAAAUUAGCGGAUGACUUGUGGCUGGGGGUGAAAGGCCAAUCAAACCGGGAGAUAGCUGGUUCUCCCCGAAAGCUAUUUAGGUAGCGCCUCGUGAAUUCAUCUCCGGGGGUAGAGCACUGUUUCGGCAAGGGGGUCAUCCCGACUUACCAACCCGAUGCAAACUGCGAAUACCGGAGAAUGUUAUCACGGGAGACACACGGCGGGUGCUAACGUCCGUCGUGAAGAGGGAAACAACCCAGACCGCCAGCUAAGGUCCCAAAGUCAUGGUUAAGUGGGAAACGAUGUGGGAAGGCCCAGACAGCCAGGAUGUUGGCUUAGAAGCAGCCAUCAUUUAAAGAAAGCGUAAUAGCUCACUGGUCGAGUCGGCCUGCGCGGAAGAUGUAACGGGGCUAAACCAUGCACCGAAGCUGCGGCAGCGACGCUUAUGCGUUGUUGGGUAGGGGAGCGUUCUGUAAGCCUGUGAAGGUGUGCUGUGAGGCAUGCUGGAGGUAUCAGAAGUGCGAAUGCUGACAUAAGUAACGAUAAAGCGGGUGAAAAGCCCGCUCGCCGGAAGACCAAGGGUUCCUGUCCAACGUUAAUCGGGGCAGGGUGAGUCGACCCCUAAGGCGAGGCCGAAAGGCGUAGUCGAUGGGAAACAGGUUAAUAUUCCUGUACUUGGUGUUACUGCGAAGGGGGGACGGAGAAGGCUAUGUUGGCCGGGCGACGGUUGUCCCGGUUUAAGCGUGUAGGCUGGUUUUCCAGGCAAAUCCGGAAAAUCAAGGCUGAGGCGUGAUGACGAGGCACUACGGUGCUGAAGCAACAAAUGCCCUGCUUCCAGGAAAAGCCUCUAAGCAUCAGGUAACAUCAAAUCGUACCCCAAACCGACACAGGUGGUCAGGUAGAGAAUACCAAGGCGCUUGAGAGAACUCGGGUGAAGGAACUAGGCAAAAUGGUGCCGUAACUUCGGGAGAAGGCACGCUGAUAUGUAGGUGAAGUCCCUUGCGGAUGGAGCUGAAAUCAGUCGAAGAUACCAGCUGGCUGCAACUGUUUAUUAAAAACACAGCACUGUGCAAACACGAAAGUGGACGUAUACGGUGUGACGCCUGCCCGGUGCCGGAAGGUUAAUUGAUGGGGUUAGCGGUAACGCGAAGCUCUUGAUCGAAGCCCCGGUAAACGGCGGCCGUAACUAUAACGGUCCUAAGGUAGCGAAAUUCCUUGUCGGGUAAGUUCCGACCUGCACGAAUGGCGUAAUGAUGGCCAGGCUGUCUCCACCCGAGACUCAGUGAAAUUGAACUCGCUGUGAAGAUGCAGUGUACCCGCGGCAAGACGGAAAGACCCCGUGAACCUUUACUAUAGCUUGACACUGAACAUUGAGCCUUGAUGUGUAGGAUAGGUGGGAGGCUUUGAAGUGUGGACGCCAGUCUGCAUGGAGCCGACCUUGAAAUACCACCCUUUAAUGUUUGAUGUUCUAACGUUGACCCGUAAUCCGGGUUGCGGACAGUGUCUGGUGGGUAGUUUGACUGGGGCGGUCUCCUCCUAAAGAGUAACGGAGGAGCACGAAGGUUGGCUAAUCCUGGUCGGACAUCAGGAGGUUAGUGCAAUGGCAUAAGCCAGCUUGACUGCGAGCGUGACGGCGCGAGCAGGUGCGAAAGCAGGUCAUAGUGAUCCGGUGGUUCUGAAUGGAAGGGCCAUCGCUCAACGGAUAAAAGGUACUCCGGGGAUAACAGGCUGAUACCGCCCAAGAGUUCAUAUCGACGGCGGUGUUUGGCACCUCGAUGUCGGCUCAUCACAUCCUGGGGCUGAAGUAGGUCCCAAGGGUAUGGCUGUUCGCCAUUUAAAGUGGUACGCGAGCUGGGUUUAGAACGUCGUGAGACAGUUCGGUCCCUAUCUGCCGUGGGCGCUGGAGAACUGAGGGGGGCUGCUCCUAGUACGAGAGGACCGGAGUGGACGCAUCACUGGUGUUCGGGUUGUCAUGCCAAUGGCACUGCCCGGUAGCUAAAUGCGGAAGAGAUAAGUGCUGAAAGCAUCUAAGCACGAAACUUGCCCCGAGAUGAGUUCUCCCUGACUCCUUGAGAGUCCUGAAGGAACGUUGAAGACGACGACGUUGAUAGGCCGGGUGUGUAAGCGCAGCGAUGCGUUGAGCUAACCGGUACUAAUGAACCGUGAGGCUUAACCU